GUCAGUUACGUAACUAAAAUGGCCUGAACUAAUAGGGCGUCGUGUCUAUUCUGCCCAGCAAGAAGUCUUACAAGAACAUUAACGUAGUACAAUACAUGAAUACGUGAUAAGAAACAUGUAAGUUAUGGCGCACAUUCCCACAAGAUGGGACAUUAAAAAACAAAGAUGAACUAAUAAUACAUGGAUUUGAUAUAACUUAGUGGUCACACUCUCAGUUGAUUUCAAGAUAUGGUAAAGAUCAGCAGCAAGGUUUUUAUGUAGAUAAUAAACGCUUCGAUAGAGUUCUCCUGGAUACGAAAGAAUUAUAGACGUUUGAGGAUUUCCAGUGAAGUGAUGAGAAUUCCAGAAGUAUGAUUGAAUGGGGAUUCCAGAGGUUGCCUCACUCUGCGCUAUGUUACUAGUCAAACUGAACAACAGUUUCAUUAUCCAGGCACAGGGAUGGCAGGAGGCGGAAGGACGAGCUUUGCUGCAAGGUCGAAGAGUGGCUUGCAGACCAUAAGCUCCAGAGUGAUAGGAAGGGAAAGCAGA